rnacentral:hammerhead_ribozyme from 1 species
NNCCAGCUGACGAGUCCCAAAUAGGACGAAAUGCACAUCCUGGAU